rnacentral:tRNA from 1 species
GGCUCCAUAGCUCAAUGGAUAGAGCGCCUGCCUUCUAAGCUGGUGAUCUAGGUUCGAUUCCUAGUGGGGCUACGA